UCUUCGUCCAUGAUUUGUAAUGGCGUGAUCUUUUGCUGGAGGGAAAAAGUGGAUAAAAAUCAGUUGCGGGGUGUAACAAGGGAUAGUUACGACUUACGACGGUGAAAGCGUUCGACUUAUACUGGUUCUUAUUGGUGGAGUGCUCCGCGUUCUUCGUUGCUGAUUGCUCGUUCUGCAUCGUAUCCGAACUCCAGCUAUACCGGAAUAAAGUAUAUCCUCCAACUAAAGGAUGCCGUUGGUAAUUGUAUUUUUCCUUCAAAACAAUAAGUUUCUCUUCGUCCUGGUUGGAACAACCUCCAUUUUACUUCGGUUGAAUGGUAUCACCAGUUGGAAAGGAAUCGGUAGUAGCAAUUUCCACGACUGAGUAGAGGAAUUACACGCCUAGUCUCGUAUUUCACUGCGGAGUUUGGAUUGGCCUCGUAUGUACCUAUACCUUGAAAUGGGUGAAGAGCUGACAAACUUUGAUUCUGAUUUAAGAGGAACAAUUGAUAACGGCGAGAUUGUAUAUUUAAGGGUGUGUAAUAUCUUUGUAUGUAUUUUGUAAACCAUUUUUGUCUGCCUUUUUUUCACAACUUGUUGCAGAUUCUUCAGAUUUGAAUUAAGACUAAUCUAUAUAAUUUUAA